GCGCAAGCUUAACUCCGUGGCAAAUGAACCAGCGUAGUAAUAUUUGUGCGUGCUUCGUCCUUGUUGACUGUGGGCCAAUCAUGUGUCGCUAUGAUCUCCAACUUCAAACUGAAGAUUCUAGAGCUCUAGGAUCCUUGCUUCCAACUGACAACUCACACAUAACGGUCGUUUGUUAGCUCUAGGUUAGUUUAUUUGCAUGUAAGUUAACGCUGCUUUGUGUGGUUCUGAUGGCAAGAAGAGGGAACGCGCGGGAUUGUAGUACAGCUAGAGAACCACCGCGAACCACUAGAGACAGUGUUGUUGUGGUUUCUUGUUUUCGUUAUCAUAACGUUACUUUUCCGUCACCCUCAUCUGAUAUAAUAAUGUAAUGCCUGGGUUGAGUGGACUAAAGACACAGAUAAGGGGAAGCACAGCAUCACCCCUAUAACCAACAUCAGGGGAUUCGAUUUGGAUAAAUGGAUGGUUAUUUGCUGUUGAGUGGCAGGAGGGCAAAACCGCUCCAAAAGGUGGAUGGCCAGUCUCAAGCAAUCGUGAAAAAAAUUGCAGAUCGACGUGAAUGUCAUAGCUUUAAUGGCGGAUGAAGAGCUGGGUCAAUAUAUCGAUAGAUAUGGAGGCCGACUUGCUCUUCGAACAACAGUGAGACAGUGAAGUCGGCUCUGAUGCACAGGGUUCGAGAAAAAAUAGAAGGAAGAACCUCCGCCAACAGCGACACAGCUGUAGGUAGACCUGUCGGCAAUAGAUAUGCCGUGAAAGACACUCGGCGGGUUGAAAUGGGAUGGCUUCACGUUCAGAAGGGUGAGUGUCACCAGGUCCGAACCAAAGGUGGAGGUGGAACACGGCACCUGUCUGUGCAGAAAACGGUAACCGUGGCAGAGCUGCUAGAGAUAAAGAUUUAUUCUUCCCAGAUGGACACUCUGCCAAAGGACCUAUUGCGAAGUUCGAUUUUGACAUUCGUGAUUUCAGCCAGAAGUCACUACCUCUUGAUUGCACCGUAAGCCAGCUGUAUGAGAAGACCAAGCUGCGAACGCUGCGCGUUUACACAUGCUCCCGGGAUAAAGACACCCCAAUCAUUCUCUCGGAUGCAUCCUCAGACUUUGAGCCCACCGAUGAGAGGCCAGUGAAGAACAAAACCAGGAGACGUCAUCACAAGAGGACUGAAACUACAAAAGAGAAUCCCCAAAGAAAUCUUCUGAUUCAGAUGCAGCACCUACUGACUCAGUCCAGGAAACUCAUGAAAGCACAGGAGAACCAACCAGGCAAUCAAGACCAGCCCCUUGUGAGAUUAGUGACAUCGAAGUCCUGCCUUCACUUUCUAAUGAUUGUUUAAUGCUUGCGUCAAAUGAACAUGGAGACCAGUGCAGUUAUGAGGUGGAUUCCCCAAUUGCCCUUGCCAUCCAUGCGUCUCUCGAAGACUUUGAAGUACAGUUUGGAGGUGUUUGUGCUGGUGAUGAUGGUGAUGCUGGUGAUGAAGACUCCACCCUUCCUUGGAAUCAUUGUGACCUCAACAGUAUGCAGCAUUCUACAUUUAACGAUGGACCUGCAUCAUCAAACAGUCUUACAGCAUCACCAGAUCAGUCUGAGAAAGAAGUCCUGUAUGUGGAAUUAAGGCGAGUAAACAUAGUUCAUGAUGUCCUUAAUGUCUUCAUGGAUCCAAGAGUACUGAAUGUUAAUCUGAAAAUGGAGUUAAUAAAUGAGAAAGCUGUGGACAGCGAUGGUGUGUCAAGAGAGGUGUAUUCCGCCUUCUGGGAACACUUCUUGGAACAGUGUGAGGGGGAAGAAGAGAGAGUUCCCAGACUACGACCAGACUAUUCUGAGAAGGAAUGGAAAGCAGUUGGUAGAGUCUGGUUGAAAGGAUACUUGGACCACGGCAUCAUGCCGAUCAGACUGUCACCAACUUUUGUUCUUGCCUGCUGCCAAGGAGUCAGCUCAGUGGAUGAAGAACUCUUGAUGACGUCCUUUGCCAGAUUCCUGUCAGUGACUGAGAGACUAUCCAUUGAAAAAGCAAUGCAGGGCAGCAUGGAUGAGAGUGAUGAGGAGGAAUUACUCGACCUCUUCUCACGAAUGGGCGCACACUGCCUGCCCUGUAAAGAGAACCUAAAGGCUACCAUUGUAACAAUGGCACACAAAGCUCUUCUUCAAGAGCCGAAAUUUAUGAUUGUUUCCAGUCCAGUAUUCACACUGCUUUGCCAACUCCCAUAACCAAAGGCCGCCUAAUGGAACUCUAUGAGUCUAAGAGACCAACCAACAGGAAAGUGGCACAGAUGAUUAAACCGUCAAAUGAAAGCUUAAGUACACAGGAGCAGGCAGCCCUCAACCACCUACUACGAUAUGUCAGAAGCAUUGACCAAAAGAAGCUAGAAACCUUUUUGCGCUUCUGCACAGGGUCCACUGUGCUGUGCAAAGACAAAAUUGAAGUAACUUUUAAUAAAUUGUGUGGUUUAUGUCGCAGGCCUGUUGCACACACUUGUGGAGCAGUACUUGAAUUACCAUGCACCUACAGCACAUACCCCGAAUUCCGAACAGAAUUUGACUGUGUAUUGUAAUGGAUAUAAGAAAUGUGACAGUUUUACUUAUUUGUUAUUAAGCAUCAAUGCUUGUUAUGUAAUGUACUGACACAUGAGUUUUUGCAGAUUUGCAUUUAGCAGUUAAAUACACUACACACUGUUGCUGUUCAUGAAUGUUUGGAAAGUGAUUAUUAAGAUAAAUGUUUGUUAUGUUAUAUUUAUGUUAUGCCUUUUCAGGGAAGCUGUUAUUACUGUACAAUACUGCAGAAUAUAGCACAUUCACCUGUUUCACAUUUUAAUGGCAAAUACUAGGGGUGGGCGAUAUGGCUGAAAACUGUAUCACGAUAUAAGUAUUUCAUAUCAGUCGAUAUUGAUAAUUAUUGAUUUAAAAAAAAAAUCUAUUUCAGAUAAGGACCAGA